rnacentral:rRNA from 1 species
GACGAACGCUGGCGGCGUGCUUAACACAUGCAAGUCGAACGAAGUGGCGAACGGGUGAGUAAUGUGUAAUAAACCUGCCCUUGAGAGGGGGACAACAGUUGGAAAGGACUGCAAUUCCCGCUUACUGAAGGCGGGGUUGGCGUCUGAUUAGCUAGUUGGGGGGGUCACGGCCCACUAAGGCGAUGAUCAGUAGCCGGUCUGAGAGGAUGAACGGCCACACUGGAACUGAGACACGGUCCAUACUCCUACGGGAGGCAGCAGUGGGGAAUAUUGGACAAUGGGCGAAAGCCUGAUCCAGCCAUGCCGCGUGUGUGAAGAAGGUCUUCGGAUUGUAAAGCACUUUCAGUUGGGAGGCGUUACCAGCAGAAUAAGCACCGGCUAACUUCGUGCCAGCAGCCGCGGUAAUUC